CCUACGGGUGGCUGCAGUGAGGAAUAUUGGUCAAUGGGCGCAAGCCUGAACCAGCCAAGUAGCGUGAAGGAUGACUGCCCUACGGGUUGUAAACUUCUUUUAUAAAGGAAUAAAGUGAGGCACGUGUGCCUUUUUGUAUGUACUUUAUGAAUAAGGAUCGGCUAACGCCGUGCCAGCAGCCGCGGUAAUACGGAGGAUCCGAACGUUAUCCGGAUUUAUUGGGUUUAAGGGUGGCGUAGAGGGGUUGUUAAGUCAGUUGUGAAAGUUUUCGGCUCAACCGUAAAAUUGCAAUUGAAACUGGGAGCCUGGAGUAGAGUUGAGGUAGGCGGAAUUCGUGGUGUAGCGGUGAA
rnacentral:rRNA from 1 species